AUUGAACGCUGGCGGCAGGCCUAACACAUGCAAGUCGAGCGGAUGAAGGGAGCUUGCUCCUGGAUUCAGCGGCGGACGGGUGAGUAAUGCCUAGGAAUCUGCCUGGUAGUGGGGGAUAACGUCCGGAAACGGGCGCUAAUACCGCAUACGUCCUGAGGGAGAAAGUGGGGGAUCUUCGGACCUCACGCUAUCAGAUGAGCCUAGGUCGGAUUAGCUAGUUGGUGGGGUAAAGGCCUACCAAGGCGACGAUCCGUAACUGGUCUGAGAGGAUGAUCAGUCACACUGGAACUGAGACACGGUCCAGACUCCUACGGGAGGCAGCAGUGGGGAAUAUUGGACAAUGGGCGAAAGCCUGAUCCAGCCAUGCCGCGUGUGUGAAGAAGGUCUUCGGAUUGUAAAGCACUUUAAGUUGGGAGGAAGGGUAGUAAGUUAAUACCUUGCUGUUUUGACGUUACCAACAGAAUAAGCACCGACUAACUUCGUG
rnacentral:rRNA from 1 species